rnacentral:rRNA from 2 species
AACCCUCAGUUCAGGAUCCUGAGUACGGCCACACACGUGAAACGUGGUCGGAAUCCGGGAGGACCAUCUCCCAAGGCUAAAUACUCCCUAGUGACCGAUAGUGAACCAGUACCGUGAGGGAAAGGUGAAAAGCACCGCGGAAGCGGAGUGAAAUAGUUCCUGAAACCAUGUGCCUACAAUUAGUUAGAGCCCGUUAAUGGGUGAUAGCGUGCCUUUUGUAGAAUGAACCGGCGAGUUACGUUAAUUUGCAAGGUUAAGGUGGAAAGACCGGAGCCGUAGCGAAAGCGAGUCUGAAACGGGCGUUUCAGUAAAUUGAUGUAGACCCGAAACCAGGUGACCUACCCAUGUCCAGGUUGAAGGUGCGGUAAAACGCACUGGAGGACCGAACCCGUGUAUGUUGAAAAAUGCUGGGAUGAGGUGUGGGUAGCGGUGAAAUUCCAAACGAACUUGGAGAUAGCUGGUUCUCUCCGAAAUAGCUUUAGGGUUAGCCUCGGAGUUAAGAAUCGUGGAGGUAGAGCCACUGUUUGGACUAGGGGCCCGUCAUGGGUUACUGAAUUCAGAUAAACUCCGAAUGCCACAGAUUUAUAUCCGGGAGUCAGACGAUGAGUGAUAAGAUCCACCGUCGAAAGGGGAACAGCCCAGACCACCAAUUAAGGUCCCUAAAUACAUGCUGAGUGGAAAAGGAUGUGGAGUUGCAUAGACAGCUAGGAUGUUGGCUCAGAAGCAGCCACCAUUUAAAGAGUGCGUAAUAGCUCACUAGCCGAGUGAUUCUGCGCCGAAAAUUUACCGGGGCUAAGCAUGUUACCGAAAUUGUGGAUUCGACCGUAAGGUCGAGUGAUAGGAGAGCGUUCUAAGGGCAACGAAGCAAGAUCGCAAGGACUUGUGGAGCGCUUAGAAGUGAGAAUGCCGGUAUGAGUAGCGAAAGAUCAGUGAGAAUCUGAUCCACCGAAUGACUAAGGUUUCCUGGGGAAGGCUCGUCCUCCCAGGGUUAGUCGGGACCUAAGCCGAGGCCG